rnacentral:snRNA from 1 species
GUUCUCCCUUUGGCAGCACAUAUACUAAAAUUGGAAUGAUAUGGAGAAGAUUAGCAUGGCCCCUGCGCAAGGAUGACUCUCAAAUUUGUGAAGUGUUUCAUAUUUUU